CCAAAAAUGAGCUAACUUUGCCUUAGCUUCACAUACAGGGGUUUGGCCUGUAAGUCUCUUGCAUUAAAGCCAUAUUUAUUUUUAAUAUAAGGCUAUAAGCCUAUUACAUCAAAUACUCAAAUUUAUAAGAAAAGAUAUAUUUAUACGAACAAGUAGAUUAAUCCUUAGGGCUACAGCAGGAGGAACUCUU